rnacentral:rRNA from 1 species
GAUGAACGCUAGCGGCAGGCUUAAUACAUGCAAGUCGAGGGGCAGCACAGAUCGCAAUAUUGGGUGGCGACCGGCAAACGGGUGCGGAACACGUACACAACCUUCCUUUUGGUGGGGGAUAGCCUUUGGAAACGGAGAUUAAUACCCCAUAAGAUAUUGUGACCGCAUGGUUAUGAUAUUAAAGAUUUAUUGCCAGAAGAUGGGUGUGCGUAUGAUUAGGUAGUUGGUGAGGUAAAGGCUCACCAAGCCGACGAUCAUUAACUGGUGUGAGGGGCCGACCAGGCACACGGGCACUGAGACACGGGCCCGACACCUACGGGAGGCAGCAGUAAGGAAUAUUGGUAAAUGGACGGAAGUCUGAACCAGCCAUGCCGCGUGGAGGAUGAAGGUCCUCUGGAUUGUAAACUUCUUUUAUAUGGGGCGAAAAAGGGCCAUUCUUGGCCAACUGACGGUACCAUAUGAAUAAGCACCGGCUAACUCCGUGCCAGCAGCCGCGGUAAUAC